rnacentral:rRNA from 1 species
CCAGACUCCUACGGGAGGCAGCAGUGGGGAAUAUUGCACAAUGGGGGAAACCCUGAUGCAGCGACGCCGCGUGAGUGAAGAAGUAUUUCGGUAUGUAAAGCUCUAUCAGCAGGGAAGAAAAUGACGGUACCUGACUAAGAAGCCCCGGCUAACUACGUGCCAGCAGCCGCGGUAAUACGUAGGGGGCAAGCGUUAUCCGGAUUUACUGGGUGUAAAGGGAGCGUAGACGGCAUGGCAAGUCGGAUGUGAAAGCCCGGGGCCCAACCCCGGGACUGCUCUUGGAACUGUGCGGCUGGAGUGCGGGAGGGGCAGGCGGAAUUCCUGGUGUAGCGGUGAAAUGCGUAGAUAUCAGGAGGAACACCGGCGGCGAAGGCGGCCUGCUGGACCGCGACUGACGUUGAGGCUCGAAAGCGUGGGGAGCGAACAGGAUUAGAUACCCUCGUAAA